rnacentral:rRNA from 1 species
UACGAAGGGGGCUAGCGUUGCUCGGAAUCACUGGACGUAAAGGGUGCGUAGGCGGGUCUUUAAGUCAGGGGUGAAAUCCUGGAGCUCAACUCCAGAACUGCCUUUGAUACUGAGGAUCUUGAGUUCGGGAGAGGUGAGUGGAACUGCGAGUGUAGAGGUGAAAUUCGUAGAUAUUCGCAAGAACACCAGUGGCGAAGGCGGCUCACUGGCCCGAUACUGACGCUGAGGCACGAAAGCGUGGGGGAGCAAACAGG